rnacentral:rRNA from 1 species
CGUACCUUUUGUAUAAUGGGUCAGCGACUUAUAUUCUGUAGCAAGGUUAACCGAAUAGGGGAGCCGAAGGGAAACCGAGUCUUAACUGGGCGUUAAGUUGCAGGGUAUAGACCCGAAACCCGGUGAUCUAGCCAUGGGCAGGUUGAAGGUUGGGUAACACUAACUGGAGGACCGAACCGACUAAUGUUGAAAAAUUAGCGGAUGACUUGUGGCUGGGGGUGAAAGGCCAAUCAAACCGGGAGAUAGCUGGUUCUCCCCGAAAGCUAUUUAGGUAGCGCCUCGUGAAUUCAUCUCCGGGGGUAGAGCACUGUUUCGGCAAGGGGGUCAUCCCGACUUACCAACCCGAUGCAAACUGCGAAUACCGGAGAAUGUUAUCACGGGAGACACACGGCGGGUGCUAACGUCCGUCGUGAAGAGGGAAACAACCCAGACCGCCAGCUAAGGUCCCAAAGUCAUGGUUAAGUGGGAAACGAUGUGGGAAGGCCCAGACAGCCAGGAUGUUGGCUUAGAAGCAGCCAUCAUUUAAAGAAAGCGUAAUAGCUCACUGGUCGAGUCGGCCUGCGCGGAAGAUGUAACGGGGCUAAACCAUGCACCGAAGCUGCGGCAGCGACACUAUGUGUUGUUGGGUAGGGGAGCGUUCUGUAAGCCUGUGAAGGUGGCCUGUGAGGGUUGCUGGAGGUAUCAGAAGUGCGAAUGCUGACAUAAGUAACGAUAAAGCGGGUGAAAAGCCCGCUCGCCGGAAGACCAAGGGUUCCUGUCCAACGUUAAUCGGGGCAGGGUGAGUCGACCCCUAAGGCGAGGCCGAAAGGCGUAGUCGAUGGGAAACAGGUUAAUAUUCCUGUACUUGGUGUUACUGCGAAGGGGGGACGGAGAAGGCUAUGUUGGCCGGGCGACGGUUGUCCCGGUUUAAGCGUGUAGGCUGGUUUUCCAGGCAAAUCCGGAAAACCAAGGCUGAGGCGUGAUGACGAGGCACUACGGUGCUGAAGCGACAAAUGCCCUGCUUCCAGGAAAAGCCUCUAAGCAUCAGGUAACAUCAAAUCGUACCCCAAACCGACACAGGUGGUCAGGUAGAGAAUACCAAGGCGCUUGAGAGAACUCGGGUGAAGGAACUAGGCAAAAUGGUGCCGUAACUUCGGGAGAAGGCACGCUGAUAUGUAGGUGAAGCGACUUGCUCGUGGAGCUGAAAUCAGUCGAAGAUACCAGCUGGCUGCAACUGUUUAUUAAAAACACAGCACUGUGCAAACACGAAAGUGGACGUAUACGGUGUGACGCCUGCCCGGUGCCGGAAGGUUAAUUGAUGGGGUUAGCGGUAACGCGAAGCUCUUGAUCGAAGCCCCGGUAAACGGCGGCCGUAACUAUAACGGUCCUAAGGUAGCGAAAUUCCUUGUCGGGUAAGUUCCGACCUGCACGAAUGGCGUAAUGAUGGCCAGGCUGUCUCCACCCGAGACUCAGUGAAAUUGAACUCGCUGUGAAGAUGCAGUGUACCCGCGGCAAGACGGAAAGACCCCGUGAACCUUUACUAUAGCUUGACACUGAACAUUGAGCCUUGAUGUGUAGGAUAGGUGGGAGGCUUUGAAGUGUGGACGCCAGUCUGCAUGGAGCCGACCUUGAAAUACCACCCUUUAAUGUUUGAUGUUCUAACGUUGGCCCGUAAUCCGGGUUGCGGACAGUGUCUGGUGGGUAGUUUGACUGGGGCGGUCUCCUCCUAAAGAGUAACGGAGGAGCACGAAGGUUGGCUAAUCCUGGUCGGACAUCAGGAGGUUAGUGCAAUGGCAUAAGCCAGCUUGACUGCGAGCGUGACGGCGCGAGCAGGUGCGAAAGCAGGUCAUAGUGAUCCGGUGGUUCUGAAUGGAAGGGCCAUCGCUCAACGGAUAAAAGGUACUCCGGGGAUAACAGGCUGAUACCGCCCAAGAGUUCAUAUCGACGGCGGUGUUUGGCACCUCGAUGUCGGCUCAUCACAUCCUGGGGCUGAAGUAGGUCCCAAGGGUAUGGCUGUUCGCCAUUUAAAGUGGUACGCGAGCUGGGUUUAGAACGUCGUGAGACAGUUCGGUCCCUAUCUGCCGUGGGCGCUGGAGAACUGAGGGGGGCUGCUCCUAGUACGAGAGGACCGGAGUGGACGCAUCACUGGUGUUCGGGUUGUCAUGCCAAUGGCACUGCCCGGUAGCUAAAUGCGGAAGAGAUAAGUGCUGAAAGCAUCUAAGCACGAAACUUGC